rnacentral:rRNA from 1 species
AGUGAACGCUGGCGGUAGGCCUAACACAUGCAAGUCGAACGGCAGCACAGUAAGAGCUUGCUCUUACGGGUGGCGAGUGGCGGACGGGUGAGGAAUACAUCGGAAUCUACUUUUUCGUGGGGGAUAACGUAGGGAAACUUACGCUAAUACCGCAUACGACCUACGGGUGAAAGCAGGGGAUCUUCGGACCUUGCGCGAUUGAAUGAGCCGAUGUCGGAUUAGCUAGUUGGCGGGGUAAAGGCCCACCAAGGCGACGAUCCGUAGCUGGUCUGAGAGGAUGAUCAGCCACACUGGAACUGAGACACGGUCCAGACUCCUACGGGAGGCAGCAGUGGGGAAUAUUGGACAAUGGGCGCAAGCCUGAUCCAGCCAUACCGCGUGGGUGAAGAAGGCCUUCGGGUUGUAAAGCCCUUUUGCUGGGAAAGAAAAGCAGCAGGUUAAUACCCCGCUGUUCUGACGGUACCCAAAGAAUAAGCACCGGCUAACUUCGU